rnacentral:rRNA from 1 species
AAAGUUACUUCGGUACAUCGGUGACAGGUGGUGCAUGGUUGUCGUCAGCUCGUGUCGUGAGAUGUUGGGUUAAGUCCCGCAACGAGCGCAACCCCUAUUGUUAGUUGCCAUCAUUCAGUUGGGCACUCUAGCGAGACUGCCGGUAAUAAACCGGAGGAAGGUGGGGAUGACGUCAAAUCAUCAUGCCCCUUAUGACCUGGGCUACACACGUGCUACAAUGGUUGGUACAACGAGUUGCGAGUCGGUGACGGCGAGCUAAUCUCUUAAAGCCAAUCUCAGUUCGGAUUGUAGGCUGCGACUCGCCUACAUGAAGUCGGAAUCGCUAGUAAUCGCGGAUCAGCACGCCGCGGUGAAUACGUUCCCGGGCCUU